CCUACGGGUGGCAGCAGUGGGGAAUAUUGCACAAUGGGGGGAACCCUGAUGCAGCGACGCCGCGUGGGUGAAGGAGUACUUCGGUACGUAAAGCCCUAUCAGCAGGAAAGAAAAUGACGGUACCUGACUAAGAAGCCCCGGCUAACUACGUUCCAGCAGCCGCGGUACUACGUAGGGGGCAAGCGUUAUCCGGAUUUACUGGGUGUAAAGGGAGCGUAGACGGCAGUGCAAGUCCGGAGUGAAACCCGAGGCUCAACCCUGGGACUGCUCUGGAUACUGUAAGGCUGGAGUGUGGUAGGGGUAGGCGGAAUUGAUGGUGUAGCGGUGAAAUGCGUAGAGAUCAGAAAGAACACCGGUGGCGAAGGCAGCUUGC
rnacentral:rRNA from 1 species